GUAAACGAUGUCUACUAGCCGUUGGGGCCUUUGAGGCUUUAGUGGCGCAGCUAACGCGAUAAGUAGACCGCCUGGGGAGUACGGUCGCAAGACUAAAACUCAAAUGAAUUGACGGGGGCCCGCACAAGCGGUGGAGCAUGUGGUUUAAUUCGAUGCAACGCGAAGAACCUUACCUGGCCUUGACAUACUAAGAAUUUAGCAGAGAUGCUUUAGUGCCUUCGGGAACUUAGAUACAGGUGCUGCAUGGCUGUCGUCAGCUCGUGUCGUGAGAUGUUGGGUUAAGUCCCGCAACGAGCGCAACCCUUUUCCUUACUUGCCAGCAUUUCGGAUGGGAACUUUAAGGAUACUGCCAGUGACGAACUGGAGGAAGGCGGGGACGACGUCAAGUCAUCAUGGCCCUUACGGCCAGGGCUACACGCGUGCUACAAUGGUCGGUACAAAGGGUUGCUACACAGCGAUGUGAUGCUAAUCUCAAAAAGCCGAUCGUAGUCCGGAU
rnacentral:rRNA from 1 species